rnacentral:rRNA from 1 species
GAGCGCGGGAAGCUGACUGAAUCCUUCGGGAGGACGUGAGUGGAACGAGCGGCGGACGGGUGAGUAACACGUGGGCAACCUGCCUGUAAGACUGGGAUAACUCCGGGAAACCGGGGCUAAUACCGGAUAGUACUUUGGUUCAUAGGAACCGAAGUGGAAAGGUGGCGCAAGCUACCACUUACAGAUGGGCCCGCGGUGCAUUAGCUAGUUGGUGAGGUAACGGCUCACCAAGGCAACGAUGCAUAGCCGACCUGAGAGGGUGAUCGGCCACACUGGGACUGAGACACGGCCCAGACUCCUACGGGAGGCAGCAGUAGGGAAUCUUCCGCAAUGGACGAAAGUCUGACGGAGCAACGCCGCGUGAACGAAGAAGGUUUUCGGAUCGUAAAGUUCUGUUGUUAGGGAAGAACAAGUACCGUUCGAAUAGGGCGGUACCUUGACGGUACCUAUCGAGGAAGCCCCGGCUAACUACGUGCCAGCAGCCGCGGUAAUACGUAGGGGGCAAGCGUUGUCCGGAAUUAUUGGGCGUAAAGCGCGCGUAGGCGGUUUCUUAAGUCUGAUGUGAAAUCUUGCGGCUCAACCGCAAGCGGUCAUUGGAAACUGGGGAACUUGAGUACAGAAGAGGAGAGCGGAAUUCCACGUGUAGCGGUGAAAUGCGUAGAGAUGUGGAGGAACACCAGUGGCGAAGGCGGCUCUCUGGUCUGUAACUGACGCUGAGGUGCGAAAGCGUGGGGAGCGAACAGGAUUAGAUACCCUGGUAGUCCACGCCGUAAACGAUGAGUGCUAGGUGUUAGGGGGUUUCCGCCCCUUAGUGCUGCAGUUAACGC